rnacentral:tRNA from 1 species
GAGGGUGUAGCUCGGUGGUAGAGUGCAUGUUUGGCAUGCAUGAAGUCCUAGGUUCAAUCCCCAGUACCUCUA